rnacentral:rRNA from 1 species
AACUUCGUGAACCAUCGAGUUUUUGAACGCAAGUUGCGCCCGAGGCCCUCGGGCUGAGGGCACGCCUGCCUGGGCGUCACGCAUCGCGUCGCCCCCCCUCCCCGAGGGGGCGGAGACUGGCCUCCCGUGCGCUCCCGUCGCGCGGCCGGCCC